rnacentral:rRNA from 1 species
UACAGAGGGGGCAAGCGUUGUUCGGAAUUACUGGGCGUAAAGGGCGCGUAGGCGGCCUUCUAAGUCGAACGUGAAAUCCCCGGGCUCAACCCGGGAACUGCGUCCGAUACUGGAGGGCUUGAAUCCGGGAGAGGGAUGUGGAAUUCCAGGUGUAGCGGUGAAAUGCGUAGAUAUCUGGAGGAACACCGGUGGCGAAGGCGACAUCCUGGGAUAACACUGACGCUCAUGCACGAAAGCGUGGGGAGCAAACAGG